rnacentral:rRNA from 1 species
UACGUAGGGGGCAAGCGUUGUCCGGAUUUAUUGGGCGUAAAGAGCGUGUAGGCGGCCAGAUAGGUCCGUUGUGAAAACUCGAGGCUCAACCUCGAGACGCCGAUGGAAACCAUCUGACUAGAGUCCGGAAGAGGAGAGUGGAAUUCCUGGUGUAGCGGUGAAAUGCGCAGAUAUCAGGAAGAACACCCGUGGCUAAGGCGGCUCUCUAGUACGGUACUGACGCUGAGACGCGAAAGCGUGGGGAGCGAACAGG